rnacentral:lncRNA from 1 species
ACAACUGGGCGUGAGAACUACUGUAAAAACAAGUAGUCCUCAGUGGGUACCGCCCAAAACGACAUCGGUCACCCACUAAGUCUACAGAAGGGAGCAAGGAUAGAAGAAAAAGCAAGAAGUACACUCUACCGCUAUCAUCCACUACACUAUCAUGCUCUAUACUAACCGACUGUAGGAAAUGUCAAAUCUGACCCAAUCCAAAUCGGGGCUGUAAGCAUACCCGUCCCCGGGACUGUGAAUACACCCGUCCCUGCCCCGUUGCGACUGUCCAGCUACCUCCACAAUGACUAGUCCGUGGAGAGCAAGUCCAACUGGCAUGAGCGACACCAACGCGAAAGCACCAGCCUGACUCCGGAGUGGCACUCGUGGGCGCUACCCAACCGAGUAUGCAGCGUAUCUCUGUCGAGCUCAAUCAGGCUCCAACUAGCCAAAGUCAAGUAAUCGACUCAAACCGGUCUAACAACCAACAGGUAACGUGCCCUCGGCACAAUCUGACGCCAAAAAGGCGAUACGGGUCCACCGUCAGCUCUGACAGCACCCAACAGUCCGAAACAACCUGAACGACCCUGUAAAAAUCCACUCGGCGAAUCAGCACGAGUGUAAAUACAUUCUAAACUACCUGGGGUACUCGUCUCGAAGAAACUGUGACAGUACAAUUUUCUAACGGCUCCUGGAGCUAAAUCAGGUAGUUAAAACUGAUGACAGGUCCAAAUCGCAGGUUUUCUCCUAAUUCAAAUUCCAAGUCCAACAUGUAUAAUCUACUUAAUUUAUAAACAUGCUCCAAAAUUCAGAUUUCACAAUCUACAUAUAGUCCAAGAAUUUGAGCUAACACAAUUUACCGAAAUCAAGAUCUAUACAUGUCGACCAAUAAGAACUUAGGAGUAAAGCCGAU